GUAAAACGGCUUCUCAAUGGUAAUAUAUGUAAUUUUAUGAUCACUUAAUGCUUGGAGAGAGAGGAGAAGCCGGUGAAGCCACUUUUUUCGGCUUCUCCUCUCUAGUGUAAGCCGUUUUGCGGCUUCUCCCCGGCUUUGGUGGUGAAGCCGUUUUGAAAUUGGUCCUUUGGUAGGGCUUCACCAAAAGUCGGUGGAGAAGCACUUUGAGAAGC
rnacentral:lncRNA from 1 species